rnacentral:rRNA from 1 species
GACGAACGCUGGCGGCGUGCUUAACACAUGCAAGUCGAACGGGCCCGCCCCUGUUUUUGGGGGUGGGUUGAGUGGCGAACGGGUGAGUAUCACGUGAGUAACCUGCCCCCUGCUCCUGGAUAACUGCUUGAAAGGGCGGCUAAUACGGGGUGUGCCGGCUGGUCCGCAUGGGCCUGGUCGGGAUAGUUUCAUCUUCGGGUGUUUCGGUGGGGGAUGGGCUCGCGGCCUAUCAGCUUGUUGGUGGGGUGAUGGCCCACCAAGGCGGUGACGGGUAGCCGGCCUGGGAGGGUGGGCGGCCACACUGGGACUGAGACACGGCCCAGACUCCGGCGGGAGGCAGCAGUGGGGGGUAUUGCACAAUGGGCGGAAGCCUGAUGCAGCGACGUCGCGUGAGGGAUAGAGGCCGUCGGGUGGUGAACCUCUUUCUCCGGUGGGGAAGGCCCUGUCCGUUGCGGCGGGGUUGACGGUAGCCGGGUAUGAAGCGCCGGCUAACUACGUG